CUGAAAGGGCUGGGUACAUAAAGUCUGGAAGUUUUAUAUACUUUGAGUUAGCAAUAAAGAACACAGAAUAACUUCUUUUCAGACCUCAUAUUACCUGUUAUUACACAAACCUACUGAGAGGAAUACUCAGAGGAUGUUAAGUGAUAUACUGUUUAUCUGCUUUUCUAGGGUAUUCUUGAAUCAAAUAAGAUCUUCAGGUUAUAUUUGUAGAUCUUGAAAUUUUCACUGAGUUGAGGCUUCCUCUAAGAAGCAGGUAGAAGAAGACUUAGAAUUGUAAACAAUUCAAGGCCACCCAGAAGAUGGUAGCUCAAGGAAUCUACUCCUGCGUCUUCUGACUUUCCCAGUGAUCUCAAGUCAGCCUCGCCAUCUUCACUAUUCAGAGUUUAUAUUCCUGGAAAAUGACAAGUUUCUUCUAUUCAGAAUGUGAGUGAAUAAUGCAUGAGAAUCUCUCUUAAGGGUUGUAUGUGACCCUAACCCAUGUCUGGGAAUGGCAUUUUUAUAGCCAAGACUGCUUUGAGAUAAUUGAGAUCAUUUUGGUUCUUUGAUCAACAAGUGUUUUAAGAUGUGGUCAGGAGAUCACUUCAUUUUUUCAGACGUUGGAGGAGUCUAAUUAUGGUAGUCCAGUUCAAGGAUGGGCCCAGUGAUUCUUGCCUUCUGGUAUGCAUAUACUGUAUAGUGUGAUAGCAGUAGAAUAUGGUAAAAGCAAUGGUAUGUCACUUCAGAGAUAGAUUAUAAAGGAAAUUGUGGCUUGUGAUCUCAGAACACAGCUACCAUGUCUCUAUAGAGAGGCUCAUGUGGUGAAGAACUGAGCCUUCUUGUGAGCAGCUCAGGAGGAACUGAGAUUUUGGAUUAAAGGUUAAGUGAAUAAGCCAUCUUAGAAGCAGAUUCAACAGACAAAGUCAAGUCUUUGAAUGACUGCAUUCCUGGCCAAGACUUCCUCUUGAUCCCUGUGAAGGACUCCAAGCUAGAACCCACCAAUCUAAGCUGCUAUUAGAUUUUGGAUGGACAAAAACAGUAUGACAUAAUAAAAGUUGGUUUAAGCUGCUAAUACUUGGGAAUGUUUUCUUAUAGAGAAAUAAAUAACUAUAGACCUAUCAUUCUUAGACUUUGUCCUCUAGAAGCUAACACUACUCAGGAGAAAAAAAUAAAUAAACUGCAACAAUAACAAGAAUGCUCCAAACCUAGGUAUAUAAGCAUCUACUUACAAUAUAGUACAAGUGCUAUGUAGGAAAUAACUACCAAGCACUACAGGUGGCAGGAGAUAUAACAAUUAACUGUAUUUGGAGAGAAAAGGGGUCUAAAAAACCCCAAAACUUCACAAACAGAUGUUUAGAGAUCAGUCUCUAAGAAAAAUCAGUUAUUUUCCUAGCAAAAAAAAGAAAGAAGAGCAUAUAUGGAGACCAAUGUCUGUCUCAGGGAAUGUGUUCAGUUCUAUAUAUCUUUGACCAAUUUGUGUGAGGAUUCCCUGCUAGGGAAAAUAGGUUUAUCCUAAGACAUAAGAAGUCACUGACAGAUUUUAAGAAGGAGAUUGGAAACAUCACUUAUACAUUAUAGGUAGAUAGCUGUUGUAGGUUUACUAGAAAGGUCUGAAGGGACUAGAAACAGGGAAGGAUGAAGUCCAUAUAGAAAAUGAUUAUAGUUCAUCCCAAUAGCUUCUCAAAUUAAAGACUAGUGAAUUUUUGAUGUAAUCAUAUCACUCAUCUAGUAGUUUUUAAGUUUAAUAGUUUUAAAUUUGAAAUAAUUUUAGGUGUAUCAAAAAGUUACAAAAACAGGAUAAAGAAUUUCUAUAUAAUCCUCACCCAGCUUCCUCACACACUAAUACUUCAUAUAACCAUAGUAAAAUUUUUAUUUAAAAAUUUUUUUUCACAGUAUAAUUUUUAAAAUCAGAACAUUAACAUUUAUACGUUUGUAAUUCAUUCACUGACUUUAUUCAAAUUUCAUCACCAUUCAUUUGAUUGGUGUAAUUUUUCUGGUCCAGGG
rnacentral:lncRNA from 1 species